AUUCUCGCCCGUCCACUCCCAGCGUAAAGAGGAUUCCGCGACUCGGAGACCGCAAUCUACCCGCCAGUCUCCAUAACGUAGGCCAGAGCAGCUGGGCUAAAUAAAACAGAGCCGGGGCUCUCCCUUCCCAGAGGCCUACAUCGCCCACUGGUCCGGGCUCGGAGCUCAGCAGAACCAGAGUAGGAGCGGUUGUUGCCGGCACGGAGGAGGGAGAGCGCUUGUGACACUACGAACCUCUCGAACACCUGACGACUGGGCGCCAGGGCCGGAUGGAGGGUGGAGAGCCAGUGCGGCGCACCUGCCUCCUCUUAACGGGGACACCUUGCAGGAAUGUGCGGAGUGGAGCUAACGGGAGCGGAUAGAAACCGAGGGAGGGGAAGAGAGCGCGAAGGCUUGGCCGGAAGGGGAGGUUAAAAAGGAAAGGCCUAAAAUGGGGAAGAGAGUUACCACAACAAGCAGUACCUAGUUCCAGUUCUUGGUCCCAGGAGUUUGUGGUUGUUGCUGCUUUCAUCUUCCUCAGCCAACACAAAAGGAAAGUGCCAAGGGGCGAUUCCUAGGACCUUCAGUGCAGUCUCCACCUUGCGGACUUGGCUCAUUUGUGUCCACUCCUUUCUCCAGCCUUUUACACUUGAUGCUCUUGGAUGAAUAGAAAGGAGCACAAUUAAUGGAAAACACAAGCUUGGGAGUCAAGGGAUUUGGGUUCUAUUCUUGUCCUCCCUUGGUGACGACAUCAUUACCUUGGGUUAUUCAAGCUUUCAGUGCCAGAGUUCCUAUAUCAAUAAAAGAUUAUUACAUUGACCUCUUAGAGAAAUGUUUUCAUGGUACUGAAUUGCAAAUAAAGUAUGUGUAGCAAUGUGUUA